GGGUUAGUGGCGGACGGGUGAGUAACGCGUGAGAAUCUGCCCUCAGGAGGGGGAUAACGGUUGGAAACGACCGCUAAUACCCCAUAUGCCGAGAGGUGAAAUGAAUUUCGCCUGAGGAUGAGCUCGCGUCUGAUUAGUUAGUUGGUGGGGUAAUGGCCUACCAAGACAUCGAUCAGUAGCUGGUCUGAGAGGAUGAUCAGCCACACUGGGACUGAGACACGGCCCAGACUCCUACGGGAGGCAGCAGUGGGGAAUUUUCCGCAAUGGGCGAAAGCCUGACGGAGCAACGCCGCGUGAGGGAUGAAGGCCUCUGGGUUGUAAACCUCUUUUAUCAAGGAAGAAGAUCUGACGGUACUUGAUGAAUAAGCCACGGCUAAUUCCGUGCCAGCAGCCGCGGUAAUACGGGAGUGGCAAGCGUUAUCCGGAAUUAUUGGGCGUAAAGCGUCCGCAGGCGGUCUGUCAAGUCUGCUGUUAAAGCGUGGAGCUUAACUCCAUUUCGGCAGUGGAAACUGACAGACUAGAGUGUGGUAGGGGCAGAGGGAAUUCCCGGUGUAGCGGUGAAAUGCGUAGAUAUCGGGAAGAACACCAGUGGCGAAGGCGCUCUGCUGGGCCAUAACUGACGCUCAUGGACGAAAGCCAGGGGAGCGAAAGGGAUUAGAUACCCCUGUAGUCCUGGCCGUAAACGAUGAACACUAGGUGUCGGGGGAAUCGACCCCCUCGGUGUCGUAGCCAACGCGUUAAGUGUUCCGCCUGGGGAGUACGCACGCAAGUGUGAAACUCAAAGGAAUUGACGGGGGCCCGCACAAGCGGUGGAGUAUGUGGUUUAAUUCGAUGCAACGCGAAGAACCUUACCAGGGUUUGACAUCCUGCGAAUCUCUUGGAAACGAGAGAGUGCCUUCGGGAACGCAGUGACAGGU
rnacentral:rRNA from 1 species